rnacentral:sRNA from 1 species
GAUAACAGUGCACGAAGUCAAACGUCCACGUUGCGCUUGCGCAAACGUGGACGGGCGACUUCGGGCACGCCCCUGCAUGAGCAUGAAGCGGUGCGUUAGCAGCGCGGGAAUGCGAAUGCAGGGGAGGAGCGUGAGAGCGCGAAGCGCGGAACGCUCCGU